CGGCACGGGUGAGUAACGCGUAUGCGACCUGCCCGUUGCAGGGGGAUAAUCGGGAGAAAUCCCGUCUAAUACCGCGUAACGCCGCGGGGCUGCAUGGCCCUGCGGCCAAAGGGAGCGAUUCCGGCAACGGAUGGGCAUGCGUGACAUUAGCUAGUUGGCGGGGCAACGGCCCACCAAGGCGACGAUGUCUAGGGGUUCUGAGAGGAAGGUCCCCCACACUGGUACUGAGACACGGACCAGGCUCCUACGGGAGGCAGCAG
rnacentral:rRNA from 1 species